UUAGCAGCAUGCAGAAAGCUCCGUAGAGUUUCAGCGGCUGAGUCUUGUGGCAGAUAGAGAGUGGAGCUAGAAGCGGACGCAGUUAGUUCAGACGUGCGUCAAGUGUGCCGUUGUGUAGGCAAGCUCCUAGUGUGCUACAGACUUGGGAGUGACUCAAGCUUGUGACGUGCGUGAGCUGUUGGAGUUAGAACCGGAUCAAGCCGAGAUGUGUGGCUGGACCGUUGUGGACGCGUGCAUGCAGAAGUGGAUUAGUGCAUGCAGUUAGAUAGUUUGUUAGUGGGUUAGAGCGUGGGGUGUGUUGGCCGAGUGACUUGGCUAUAAACUCCCAUGUAUCUGGGUUGUGAUUCGGCGUGCGUUGGGAAAAACAAAAGGGAAAACGGCAGAAGUCUGUUGCCGGAAAACUAUGUGUGUUCUUGUGUCUAGCGAGUAUCUGUGUGAGUCUUCUUCUUUCUCGGGCAGCCCCAACAUUUGGUAUCAGNN
rnacentral:lncRNA from 1 species